rnacentral:lncRNA from 1 species
UUUGACUCUUGACAAGCUAGAUGGAGGCUUGGGGAAAGAAGCGGGUCAAACGGAUCGUAUACGCGGAAAAGAGCAUAAUCCGGAUACUAGGAAUAAAUAUCGAUUGAAUGUUGACAUCGCUAUUACUUAGCGGCUACUAAGGCAAGGUAUCGAAACGGGUCAAUAUAUUGAUCCGAGCCAGGUUUGUAUAAUGAUUCAACUCGUCAUGUAGAACUUGAGGUUCUAUAAGUGUUAGACAAGGAUAAAAUAUAGAUAUUCGGUUAUCAUUAAGGUAAACCGAAUAAAUUGGGUCAUGAUUAUGGUAUUUUAGAAAUAUAAUGGUUUCUAAACAAGAUUAUAGUUUUAAAAGUGAGAUUUUGGUCGAACAUGGCUUUAAAGGUCCUUCGUCGUAAUAGGAGGGGUAAAAGUGACCAAAAUGCUUUUAUAAGUGAAAUUAAGCAAACGAUCCCUAAAGGUUGCUUAGAAAUGAGUUUUGUAACCAAAUAGAUACUUGUAUUAAGUAUAAAAAGUGAAAUAUGUGAAUCUUUGGGUCAAAUGACUCUAUAUGAGUCUUUGCCGUAAAAUGAUAAUCCGAGGGGUAAAACUCGGAAUAAAUAGAUCUCCACAUUAAAUCCUCCACACAUAUAGUUGUGGUGGAAGAUAAAUUGAUAAAUAAUAUGGAAGUACAAUGCUAGAAGUGAAUGGGUAUGAAUUAUGCGGUAAAAGUGCUUAAAUACCCUUAACGGGUCAAAAUAAGCUUCUAAGUCAAAACGGGUUAAAGAAGGUAUACAAACCCGUGAUUUUGAGCCUAAUAUAAUAGGAGAUAUUGAAAUUAUGAAGUUCAUGGGUUUAAAGAUCAAAUAGGCAUGUUUGUUUGAUAAAAUCACGAACGGGGCAAAAUUUGGUAAAAAGGGUAAUAAGCCAAAGAUUUAAAAGUCUUAAAUUUUUGUUAAUCCGGAUGUCGGAUUUUAACUCCAUAUGAUGGAGAAUUAAAUUACGGACGCGUAGGAAAAAGAAUCGUGUAAAACGGAUUAAAAACGAGAGAGUUAUGUCCGUUUCGGUAAGAACUAAUGAAAAAUAGACGUGCAGAGUUGACACGGGCGGGUGACUUUUUGACACGGCCGGGUGGCUGGGUUGUGAAAAAUAUAUGUUAACUGACACGGCCGGGUGACUUUUUGACACGGCCGGGUGAAGGGGCUGAAAACAAAACAAAAAUAAUUUCUUGUUUUGUUACGUUAAGCACGGAACUUGUUUAUACUCGAUUAUUAAAGUGUCAAAACUAAUUAUUUACAUGGUUUUGAC